rnacentral:rRNA from 1 species
GUGGGGAAUAUUCCGCAAUGGACGAAAGUCUGACGGAGCAACGCCGCGUGAGUGAUGAAGGUUUUCGGACUGUAAAGCUCUGUUGUUUAGGACGAAAGUGCCUGUUGCGAACAGUUACAGGUAUUGACGGUACUAAACGAGGAAGCCACGGCUAACUACGUGCCAGCAGCCGCGGUAAUACGUAGGUGGCAAGCGUUGUCCGGAAUUAUUGGGCGUAAAGAGCAUGUAGGCGGAGAUUUAAGUCUGUUGUGAAAAUGCGGGGCUCAACCCCGUAUUGGGAUGGAAACUGGGUUUCUUGAGUGCAGGAGAGGAAAGGGGAAUUCCCAGUGUAGCGGUGAAAUGCGUAGAUAUUGGGAGGAACACCAGUGGCGAAGGCGCCUUUCUGGACUGUGUCUGACGCUGAGAUGCGAAAGCCAGGGUAGCGAACGGGAUUAGAAACCCGGGUAGUCC